GGGAGCUAAUACCGGAUAUCUCAUUUCCUCUCCUGAGGGAAUGAUGAAAGACGGAGCAAUCUGUCACUUGCGGAUGGGCCUGCGGCGCAUUAGCUAGUUGGUGAGGUAACGGCUCACCAAGGCGACGAUGCGUAGCCCACCUGAGAGGGUGAACGGCCACACUGGGACUGAGACACGGCCCACACUCCUACGGGAGGCAGCAGUAGGGAAUCUUCCGCAAUGGGCGAAAGCCUGACGGAGCAACGCCGCGUGAGUGAUGAAGGUUUUCGGAUCGUAAAGCUCUGUUGCCAGGGAAGAACGUCCGGUAGAGUAACUGCUAUCGGAGUGACGGUACCUGAGAAGAAAGCCCCGGCUAACUACGUGCCAGCAGCCGCGUUAUACGUAGGGGGCAGCGUUGUCCGGAAUUAUUGGGUGUAAAGCGCGCGCAGGCGGUCAUUUAAGUCUGGUGUUUAAGGCCAAGGCUCAACCUUGGUUCGCACUGGAAACUGGGUGACUUGAGUGCAGAAGAGGAGAGUGGAAUUCCACGUGUAGCGGUGAAAUGCGUAGAUAUGUGGAGGAACACCAGUGGCGAAGGCGACUCUCUGGGCUGUAACUGACGCUGAGGCGCGAAAGCGUGGGGAGCAAACAGGAUUAGAUACCCUGGUAGUCCACGCCGUAAACGAUGAUGCUAGUGUAGGGUUCGAACCCUUGGGCCGAGUUACACUUAGCAUCCGCUGGGAGACGGCGCAGAUGA
rnacentral:rRNA from 1 species